CGAACGCUGGCGGCGUGCUUAACACAUGCACGUCGAGCGGCAAGGCCCCUUUGGGGGUACUCGAGUGGCGAACGGGUGAGUAACACGUGAGUAACCUGCCCUUGACUUCGGGAUAACUUCAGGAAACUGGGGCUAAUACCGGAUAGGAAUCCUUGCUGCAUGGUGGGGGUUGGAAAGCUUCGGCGGUUUUGGAUGGACUCGCGGCUUAUCAGCUUGUUGGUGGGGUAGUGGCUUACCAAGGCUUUGACGGGUAGCCGGCCUGAGAGGGCGACCGGCCACAUUGGGACUGAGAUACGGCCCAGACUCCUACGGGAGGCAGCAGUGGGGAAUAUUGCACAAUGGGCGGAAGCCUGAUGCAGCAACGCCGCGUGCGGGAUGACGGCCUUCGGGUUGUAAACCGCUUUCAGCAGGGGCGAAGCUUGUGGUGACGGUACCUGCAGAAGAAGCACCGGCUAACUACGUG
rnacentral:rRNA from 1 species